rnacentral:rRNA from 1 species
GCUUGCUCCCUGAUGUUAGCGGCGGACGGGUGAGUAACACGUGGGUAACCUGCCUGUAAGACUGGGAUAACUCCGGGAAACCGGGGCUAAUACCGGAUGGUUGUUUGAACCGCAUGGUUCAAACAUAAAAGGUGGCUUCGGCUACCACUUACAGAUGGACCCGCGGCGCAUUAGCUAGUUGGUGAGGUAACGGCUCACCAAGGCAACGAUGCGUAGCCGACCUGAGAGGGUGAUCGGCCACACUGGGACUGAGACACGGCCCAGACUCCUACGGGAGGCAGCAGUAGGGAAUCUUCCGCAAUGGACGAAAGUCUGACGGAGCAACGCCGCGUGAGUGAUGAAGGUUUUCGGAUCGUAAAGCUCUGUUGUUAGGGAAGAACAAGUACCGUUCGAAUAGGGCGGUACCUUGACGGUACCUAACCAGAAAGCCACGGCUAACUACGUGCCAGCAGCCGCGGUAAUACGUAGGUGGCAAGCGUUGUCCGGAAUUAUUGGGCGUAAAGGGCUCGCAGGCGGUUUCUUAAGUCUGAUGUGAAAGCCCCCGGCUCAACCGGGGAGGGUCAUUGGAAACUGGGGAACUUGAGUGCAGAAGAGGAGAGUGGAAUUCCACGUGUAGCGGUGAAAUGCGUAGAGAUGUGGAGGAACACCAGUGGCGAAGGCGACUCUCUGGUCUGUAACUGACGCUGAGGAGCGAAAGCGUGGGGAGCGAACAGGAUUAGAUACCCCUGGUAGUCCACGCCGUAAACGAUGAGUGCUAAGUGUUA